AGUUUUGUCCUGCUGCCACCUCAAAGAGAGCUGUGAGGCCGGGCGUGGUGGCUCACGCCUGUAUUCCCAGCAAUCUGGGAGGUGGAGGCGGGUGGAUCACCUGAGGUCAGGAGUUCAAGACGAGCCUGGCCAACAUGGUGAGACUCCAUCUCUACAAAAAUAUAAAAAUUAGCCGGGCAUAAUGGUGGGUGCCUGUAAUCCCAGCUACUCAGGAGGCUGAGGCGGGAGAAUCGCUUGAACUAGGGAGGCGGGUGUUGAAAUGAGCCGAGAUGGUGCCAUCUCUAGCCAGGGAAAUAGAGCAAGACUCCAUCUCAAAAAAAAAAAAGAGAGAGAGAGCUGCGAGUAUUCCUCAAUGAUAGCUGGUAGGAAGUGGUACAGGGUCACAGAGAGAGUGGCCAGACCCCUGGAGACCAGGGCAGGGUCCUUAUGGUGCCCUGUCAGUGUUGCCCCGGUGACUUGGCAGAGCACUCACCUAAUCUGGGGCGCGCUGGACAUGUUGUUCCCUCUCACCUGCACCUCUUUCUGCUGCACACCCCGCCCCCACUGCUUUGCCUGGUCUACUCCUUGUCACUGUUUUCUUUUCUUUUUCUUUCUUUUUUUUUUUUUUUUUUUUUUUUUGAGACAGAGUCUCGCUCUGUUGCCCAGGCUGGAAUACAAUGGUGCGAUCUUGGCUCACUGCAACCUCCGCCUCAUGGGCUCAAGAGAUUCUCCUGCCUCAGCCUCCUGAAUAGCUGGGACUAUAGGCGCAUGCCACCAUGCCUGGAUAAUUUUUGUAUUUUUAGUAGAGACUGGGUUUAGCCAUGUUGGCCAGGCUGGUCUGGAACUCCUCACCUCAGGUGAUCCACCCACCUCAGCCUCCCAAAGUGCUGGGAUUACAGGCGUGAGCCACCGCGCCCGACCCUCCUUGUCACUCUUUAGACUUCAGCAUUGGUGUCAUUUCUGCAGGGAAGCUCUCCCUGACCCCUCCAGAGAAGAAUGGUCCCUUUCUAGAUACUCUUAGGGUACUAAGCUUGCAGCACUUAAAACGACAGCUCAUUGUUGGGCCAUUGCUAUUUAUGUCUAUCUCCCCUCAGGCAGUGAGGUCACAGUUGUAGAAUCUGUGUCCUGGUCUGCAUCCCAGUACCUGGAAAGUGUCAGGCACAUGCAUCAGGCACAUGUCAGUGUCUGGCAGACGGUGUAGCUCAGUGGAUAUGAGCAUGAGUCUCCCUCUGUCGCCCAGGCUGGAAUACAGUGGCACAGUCUUGGCUCACUGCAGCCUCCAUCUCCCAGAUUCAAGCG
rnacentral:lncRNA from 1 species